GUUAUGAAUUUCUGGAUGCUGCAAGAGCCAGAAAUCAACAAAUCUGCAAUUUUCAUUGUGACGCUGCAUCCAUAUUCAAAUAAAUUUGACAAGUAGUUUCGCUGUUGCUUGAAUCUAUUGUCCAUCCCAAAGAUUGCACAUGCCUGAAGACUGUCGCCUCUGAUCCUCUGACUGUCUUCGAUUUUGAGACCAAGAAUGCAAUUACCUGAAUAAAGGAAUAUUCACAAUGACAUGUCAUC
rnacentral:misc_RNA from 1 species